GCCUGAUUUGUACAAAGAAGAUAAGUUUAUCGUCAUUUGAGGUGGAUUUCACAUUGAAAUGACUUGUUAUAAAAUUCUGGGUGAUAUAUUACGUGAAAGUAGAUUAGACAUAUGUCCUCACUAAAACCAUUAUUGCAACACCUAGAACGGCAUAUUCUUGUAUGUAUGUUCAAAUGUACCUAGCACUAGACACGCGCAUCAGAUAACUCUAUGUGUUUUAGCUUGGAUUGUAUAUAUCGGCUUAAGAAAGGUAAACACAAAAUUUAUAAUCAUGUCAUGACUCUGUGACGUUAAAUGAUUUGAUAGACUGGUGUAAGAAAAUAUAGUCAUCUCUACC
rnacentral:lncRNA from 1 species